AGUGAACGCUGGCGGUAUGCCUAACACAUGCAAGUCGAACGGCAGCACAGUAAGCUCUUGCUCUUACGGGUGGCGAGUGGCGGACGGGUGAGGAAUACAUCGGAAUCUUCUUUUUCGUGGGGGAUAACGUAGGGAAACUUACGCUACUACCGCAUACGACCUACGGGUGAAAGCAGUGGAUCUUCGGACCUUUCGCGAUUGAAUGAGCCGAUGUCGGAUUAGCUAGUUGGCGGGGUAAAGGCCCACCAAGGCGACGAUCCGUAGCUGGUCUGAGAGGAUGAUCAGCCACACUGGAACUGAGACACGGUCCAGACUCCUACGGGAGGCAGCAGUAGGGAAUAUUCGACAAUGGGCGAAAGCCUGACGAAGCAACGCCGCGUGGGUGAAGAAGGUCUUCGGGUUGUAAAGCUCUGUUGUUGGGAAAGAAAAGCAGCAGGAUUAUACACCCCUGUUCUGACGGUACCGAAAGAAAAAGCCCCGGCUAACUACGUG
rnacentral:rRNA from 1 species